rnacentral:rRNA from 1 species
UACAGAGGUCUCAAGCGUUGUUCGGAUUCAUUGGGCGUAAAGGGUGCGUAGGCGGCGCGGUAAGUCGGGUGUGAAAUCUCGGAGCUUAACUCCGAAACUGCAUUCGAUACUGCCGUGCUUGAGUACUGGAGAGGAGACUGGAAUUUACGGUGUAGCGGUGAAAUGCGUAGAUAUCGUAAGGAAGACCAGUGGCGAAGGCGGGUCUCUGGACAGUUCCUGACGCUGAGGCACGAAGGCCAGGGGAGCAAACGGG